rnacentral:rRNA from 1 species
CCCGCUGAACUUAAGCAUAUCAAUAAGCGGAGGAAAAGAAACUAACAAGGAUUCCCCUAGUAACGGCGAGUGAAGCGGGAAAAGCUCAAAUUUGAAACCUGGCCUCUUCGAGGAAAAUGUCGCAGGGUUGUAGUUUAUAGAGGCGUUUUCGAUGGAAUCCUGGGUAUAAGUCUUUUGGAACAAGGCAUCAUAGAGGGUGAGAAUCCCGUCUUUGACUCAGAGUUUUCCAUUAUGUGAUACGUCUUCAUAGAGUCGAGUUGUUUGGGAAUGCAGCUCAAAAUGGGUGGUAAAUCUCAUCUAAAGCUAAAUAUUGGCGAGAGACCGAUAGCGAACAAGUACCGUGAGGGAAAGAUGAAAAGAACUUUGAAAAGAGAGUUAAACAGUACGUGAAAUUGCUGAAAGGGAAACGCUUGAAGUCAGUCGCGUUGGCUGAGAAUCAGCCUUGCUCUUUUGCUUGGUGUACUUCUCAGUUGAUGGGUCAGCAUCAGUUUCGACUGCUGGAUAAAGCUCGAGGGAAUGUGGCAUCUUCGGAUGUGUUAUAGCCCUCGUUCGUAUACAGCAGUUGGGACUGAGGAACUCAGCAUGCCGCAAGGCCGGGUUUUUAACCACGUACGUGCUUAGGAUGCUGGCAUAAUGGCUUUAAUCGACCCGUCUUGAAACACGG